CUCCGUAGGGAUUUGAAUGUGAUCGGUUUUGGACUGAUCGGAUGGCUUGCACCAUCAAGCAUUCCUAUUAUCAAUGGCGAUAGCUUAACCGGACUCUUCUUUAGCAGCAUUGGAACUGAACUUGCUCACUUCCCCAGCCCUCCUGCUCUAACUUCUCAGUUCUGGUAACUCCUCAACACUUCCCUGGAUUCGACUAAAUUUUUUUAUUUUUUUUUAAUAGCACGACAUCUUAAUUGUAUACCCCUUUGAUCAUUCAAGAACUCAAAUUGGCCCAAAUUUUUAGUCGAAUAUGAGUAAAAUUGAUAAAUUAAUAAAAUAAUUUUUAAAAUCGGGAACUCAUCGAGAAAACUUUCGAUAAAUUAGAGAUUUUUAGGACAAUAAUUAUAUUAGUAUAUGCUAAUUUUUUCUUUAAAUAAUUAUUUAACUUAACCUCAUAAACUGAUGUGUUCAUGUACACAGGUUGUGGCUUGUUACAUGGCAUUUGGGUUUGUUCAUCUGCCUAACUUUCGGGCAAAUCGGCUUUAAGGGAAGGACCGAAGAUUACUUCUAAUCAUUGAUGUAAUCGUACUUAGUACUAUUGUUUAUGUAUUUGUGGAA
rnacentral:lncRNA from 1 species